UACAGAGGGUGCAAGCGUUGUUCGGAAUUAUUGGGCGUAAAGGGAGUGUAGGCGGUUCGUUAAGUCUUCUGUGAAAUCUACGGGCUUAGCCUGUAACGUGCAGAGGAAACUAGCGGGCUUGAGUGUCGGAGAGGAUAGGGAAUACCCAGUGUAGAGGUGAAAUUCGUAGGAGAUUGGGUGGAACACCAGUGGCGAAGGCGCCUAUCUGGCUGACGAACUGCGCUGAGACUCGAAAGCAUGGGAGCAACAGG
rnacentral:rRNA from 1 species